GACCCCCAUGCUCCUCCCAGCCCAGCCCCAGCCCAGCAGGGCUCCUGCAGACCCCGUCAAAGCCCCUCGGGAGGGUGGCCCAGGGAGCCCAGCACUCCCGCCCUUCCUACCCUGGAAAGGCGCUUUCCCAUCAAAUGAUGUGCCCUCAGGUGACACAGCCGCCUGUCACUCCUCCUCUCCUGGCAGGAAGUGGGAUCCAUGGCAGGAGGGAAAUCAAGAUGUGGUGCCACCGAGCUCAGAGGCCCCCAGACCUGUCUUCCCUGGGUGCUGAGUGCUGAGUGGGGCAUCCAGGAUCAUCCAAGACCAGCCAUCACCCACGACCGUCCCCUCGAAGAGCAGGAAGGAUGGCAGGACUCUGAGACUUCUCACCCAAACCAGGACUUGACCAGUAAUUAAGCUGGGACCAGAGGCACAGAAGAGACUCCUGCUGACCCUCCAGCUACGACAGAGGAGUUAAUGUGAAAUCUAGCUACUCCCGGCCGGCGCCACGGGGAAGAGCCUUUUACACAAAUAUCUGUCACGUUUGCCGCACACACGUGUGACUCAAGGCAUGCCACUGUGAAUGUGGCGGGCAUGUUCUGCUCCGUGUUGUCCCCAGCGGCCAACACCUUCCCUAAAUGGAUUUAGGAGGCCAGUUGGCACCUACCUUGCCUGCCCCACCCCAGGGAGGGGCCGGGGCUGGGGGAGCACAAUGGGGUGCUGCCAGCAAGCCCACAUCCCCCCCAAUGUCAAUUAUUUCUCACAACUUCGGAAGAGCGGAGAAGUCCCAGGUCACGCGGCAUCGUCACCCACAAGCCAUUUCUUUUGCAGCUAGCAGGGCUCCUGCAGAAACGUGUGUGAGUCCUGUGGAGGGUAGAGCCGUCUGGGUGAGAGACACUGGGGGACAGCCGGAGCCAGCAAAGCAGCUCUGCCUGCACCCACCGCACGGCUGGGCGGGCUCACGCGGGAUGUCCCGCAGGCCGGUCCCACCCCGUUGGUUAAGGCACUUUGUUUCACAAUCCCUCUGACAGGCCCCAAUCUCCUCAUUUCCCUGUUGGAACACGUCGCAUCGUCGCAUUGUGUCUUGUUAGGAUCCUGCCUUUCCUUCCCUGCACGAGGUCUCUGCACGGACUCUUAGUGCACAUUAGUUUUUAAUGGCUGUAAUAUUCUUUCGAGUGGAUAAACCACAGGUUACUUAAACAUUCCCCAUGUUCAGGCACUUGGGUUUCUUCUAAUUAUUUUGCUACAAAUAUGUAUUUUUGUGUUUUGCAUUA